GAUGAAGAACGCAGCGAAAUGCGAUAAGUAAUGAGAAUUGCAGAAUUCAGUGAAUCAUCGAAUCUUUGAACGCACAUUGCGCCCGCCAGUAUUCUGGCGGGCAUGCCUGUUCGAGCGUCAUUUCAACCAUCAAGCCCCCGGCUUGUGUUGGGGACCUGCGGCUGCCGCAGGCCCUGAAAAGCAGUGGCGGGCUCGCUGUCACACCGAGCGUAGUAGCAUACAUCUCGCUCUGGGCGUGCUGCGGGUUCCGGCCGUUAAACCACCUUCAUAACCCAAGGUUGACCUCGGAUCAGGUAGGAAGACCCGCUGAACUUAAGCAUAUCAAUAAGCGGAGGA
rnacentral:misc_RNA from 1 species